rnacentral:rRNA from 1 species
UGCAGUCGAGCGGACGGAUGGGAGCUUGCUCCCUGAAGUCAGCGGCGGACGGGUGAGUAACACGUGGGCAACCUGCCUGUAAGACUGGGAUAACUCCGGGAAACCGGGGCUAAUACCGGAUAAUUCUUUCCCUCACAUGAGGGAAAGCUGAAAGAUGGUUUCGGCUAUCACUUACAGAUGGGCCCGCGGCGCAUUAGCUAGUUGGUGAGGUAACGGCUCACCAAGGCGACGAUGCGUAGCCGACCUGAGAGGGUGAUCGGCCACACUGGGACUGAGACACGGCCCAGACUCCUACGGGAGGCAGCAGUAGGGAAUCUUCCGCAAUGGACGAAAGUCUGACGGAGCAACGCCGCGUGAGUGAUGAAGGUUUUCGGAUCGUAAAACUCUGUUGUCAGGGAAGAACAAGUAUCGGAGUAACUGCCGGUACCUUGACGGUACCUGACCAGAAAGCCACGGCUAACUACGUGCCAGCAGCCGCGGUAAUACGUAGGUGGCAAGCGUUGUCCGGAAUUAUUGGGCGUAAAGCGCGCGCAGGCGGUUCCUUAAGUCUGAUGUGAAAGCCCACGGCUCAACCGUGGAGGGUCAUUGGAAACUGGGGAACUUGAGUGCAGAAGAGGAGAGUGGAAUUCCACGUGUAGCGGUGAAAUGCGUAGAGAUGUGGAGGAACACCAGUGGCGAAGGCGACUCUCUGGUCUGUAACUGACGCUGAGGCGCGAAAGC